rnacentral:rRNA from 1 species
UCCUACGGGAGGCAGCAGUAGGGAAUCUUCCACAAUGGACGAAAGUCUGAUGGAGCAACGCCGCGUGAACGAUGAAGGCCUUCGGGUCGUAAAGUUCUGUUGUAAGGGAAGAACAAGUGCCGCAGGCAAUGGCGGCACCUUGACGGUACCUUGCGAGAAAGCCACGGCUAACUACGUGCCAGCAGCCGCGGUAAUACGUAGGUGGCAAGCGUUGUCCGGAAUUAUUGGGCGUAAAGCGCGCGCAGGCGGCCUCUUAAGUCUGAUGUGAAAGCCCCCGGCUCAACCGGGGAGGGCCAUUGGAAACUGGGAGGCUUGAGUAUAGGAGAGAAGAGUGGAAUUCCACGUGUAGCGGUGAAAUGCGUAGAGAUGUGGAGGAACACCAGUGGCGAAGGCGACUCUUUGGCCUAUAACUGACGCUGAGGCGCGAAAGCGUGGGGAGCAAACAGGAUUAGAUACCCUGGUAGUCCACGCCGUAAACGAUGAGUGCUAGGUGUUGGAGGGUUUCCGCCCUUCAGUGCUGAAGCUAACGCAUUAAGCACUCCGCC